rnacentral:lncRNA from 1 species
UACCUGUUAAUAUCCUCUGUCGGCAAUAUGAUAAUAACUAGCGUCCGUAGGAUUCCACCUUUAUUUUUACGAACAGUGCCAGAAUUGAAGUUAAGCAAUCUAAGGAAAAUACAUUACUUAACAUAUAAAGCCAUCAAAAUCCAUGGUGUAAUAUACAAGCAAUGUACACAAAAACUUCACAACAGCCCCUAACUAACCGACAUAUGCAGACAAAAAUAAAAAGAUAUAUGUUUUUACUUAUUCGAACAUAUCUGUUUACGACAAACAGCUGAAAGCAAAUGCAGCAGCCUGCCAAUUCAUUGCAUGUAUGAAGAUUUGAGUAUAGUGCCUGAUUAUUUUCCACAAGGUCUGAACUUAUUUGACGCAGCAUCAUAUGCCCAUCGUCCACAAGAUCAUGGGCACGCAAAUAUGAGAGUAACGUCGAGGCAAAAUUAAUUCAGGGAAUAAUGUACUCGUUCAAGUAGUCGCACCACCUGGUUAACAUUNNNNN